AUUGAACGCUGGCGGCAGGCCUAACACAUGCAAGUCGAACGAGUGGCGGACGGGUGAGUAAUGUCUGGGAAACUGCCUGAUGGAGGGGGAUAACUACUGGAAACGGUAGCUAAUCCCGCCUACCAUCCUAUGUGCCCAGAUGGGAUUAGCUAGUUGGUGGGGUAACGGCUCACCAAGGCGACGAUGCCUAGCUGGUCUGAGAGGAGGAACAGCCACACUGGAACUGAGACACGGCCCAGACUCCUACGGGAGGCAGCAGUGGGGAAUAUUGAACAAUGGGCGCAAGCCUGAUGCAGCAAUGCCGCGUGUAUGAAGAAGGCUUUCGGGUUGUAAAGUACUUUCAGCGGGGAGGCGUUACCCGCAGAAGAAGCAACGGCUAACUCCGUGCCAGCCGCCGCGGUAAUUC
rnacentral:rRNA from 1 species